ACUACAGCAAAAUCUGUGGUCAGGCGUGGAAACCUGAAAAAACAUCACAGGCGUAAAUAAAAGUCGCCCAUGCGGCUAUUUU
rnacentral:sRNA from 1 species